UACGUAGGUGGCAAGCGUUGUCCGGAAUUAUUGGGCGUAAAGCGCGCGCAGGCGGCCUCUUAAGUCUGAUGUGAAAGCCCCCCGGCUCAACCGGGGAGGGCCAUUGGAAACUGGGAGGCUUGAGUAUAGGAGAGAAGAGUGGAAUUCCACGUGUAGCGGUGAAAUGCGUAGAGAUGUGGAGGAACACCAGUGGCGAAGGCGACUCUUUGGCCUAUAACUGGACGCUGAGGCGCGAAAGCGUGGGGAGCAAACAGG
rnacentral:rRNA from 1 species